AAAAAAAAAAAAAAAAAAAAAAAAACCUGUGCACCAUCCACCAGCUACCUGACAGCUCAGAGUACUGUGCACCAUCCACCAGCUACCUGACAUCUCCGAGUACUGUGCACCAUCCACCACCUACCUGACAGCUCAGAGUACUGUGCAUCGGGCAAAAAAUACAAAAAAAAAAAAAUAAGGUAAAUCUCCAAUCAUGUCCAUCCAUCUACUGUAUCUCUGUCUAUUGUCUGUCUCUAUCUCUUUUUCUGUUUGUCUCUGUAUGGAUUUGUAAAAAAAAAAUUGUUAAAUAUUUCUUGUAUGGAAUCAAAUUUUUUUCUUCCAGAAAAAAAAAAAAAAAAGACAAAAAAAAAUACCUGUGCACCAUCCACCAGCUACCUGACAGCUCAGAGUACUGUGCACCAUCCACCACCUACCUGACAGCUCAGAGUACUGUGCAUCAGACAAAAAAUACAAAAAAAAUACAAAAAAAUAAAGAAAAGAAAAAAAAAAAAAAAAAAACCUGUGCACCAUCCACCACCUACCUGACAGCUUCAAGUACUGUGCACCAUCCACCACCUACCUGACAGCUCAGAGUACUGUGCAUCAGACAAAAAAAAAUAAAAAUAAAAAUAAAGAAAAGAAAAAAAAUAAAAAAAUCUGUGCACCAUCUACCAGCUACCUGACAGCUGUAAGUACUGUGCACCAUCCACCACCUACCUGACAGCUCAGAGUACUGUGCACCAUCCACCAUCUACCUGACAGCUCGGAGUACUGUG